rnacentral:rRNA from 1 species
GGCUCAGGAUGAACGCUGGCGGCGUGCUUAACACAUGCAAGUCGAACGGUGAAAGAGAGCUUGCUCUCUGGAUCAGUGGCGAACGGGUGAGUAACACGUGAGCAAUCUGCCCCUGACUCUGGGAUAAGCGUUGGAAACGACGUCUAAUACCGGAUACGAGCUGCGAAGGCAUCUUCAGCAGCUGGAAAGAACUUCGGUCAGGGAUGAGCUCGCGGCCUAUCAGCUAGUUGGUGAGGUAAUGGCUCACCAAGGCGUCGACGGGUAGCCGGCCUGAGAGGGUGACCGGCCACACUGGGACUGAGACACGGCCCAGACUCCUACGGGAGGCAGCAGUGGGGAAUAUUGCACAAUGGGCGCAAGCCUGAUGCAGCAACGCCGCGUGAGGGACGACGGCCUUCGGGUUGUAAACCUCUUUUAGCAGGGAAGAAGCGAAAGUGACGGUACCUGCAGAAAAAGCACCGGCUAACUACGUGCCAGCAGCCGCGGUAAUACGUAGGGUGCAAGCGUUAUCCGGAAUUAUUGGGCGUAAAGAGCUCGUAGGCGGUUUGUCGCGUCUGCUGUGAAAACCCGAGGCUCAACCUCGGGCCUGCAGUGGGUACGGGCAGACUAGAGUGCGGUAGGGGAGAUUGGAAUUCCUGGUGUAGCGGUGGAAUGCGCAGAUAUCAGGAGGAACACCGAUGGCGAAGGCAGAUCUCUGGGCCGUAACUGACGCUGAGGAGCGAAAGGGUGGGGAGCAAACAGGCUUAGAUACCCUGGUAGUCCACCCCGUAAACGUUGGGAACUAGUUGUGGGGUCCAUUCCACGGAUUCCGUGACGCAGCUAACGCAUUAA